AGAGUUUGAUCCUGGCUCAGGACGAACGCUGGCGGCGUGCCUAACACAUGCAAGUCGAGCGGAGGGAUACGAGGAGCAAUCUGAGGAUUCUGAGCGGCGGACGGGUGAGUAACGCGUGGGCAACCUGCCUUGCACUGGGGGAUAACGCGGCGAAAGCCGCACUAAUACCGCAUAAGACCACAAGGGCCGCAUGGUCCGGGGGUCAAAGGAGCGAUCCGGUGGAAGAUGGGCCCGCGUCCGAUUAGGUAGUUGGUGGGGUAAAGGCCUACCAAGCCUGAGAUCGGUAGCCGACCUGAGAGGGUGAUCGGCCACACUGGAACUGAGACACGGUCCAGACUCCUACGGGAGGCAGCAGUGGGGAAUAUUGGGCAAUGGGGGAAACCCUGACCCAGCAACGCCGCGUGAGGGAAGAAGGUCCUCGGAUUGUAAACCUCUGUUCCUGGAGAAGAGAAGAAGACGGUAUCCAGGGAGGAAGCCCCGGCUAACUACGUGCCAGCAGCCGCGGUAAUACGUAGGGGGCAAGCGUUGUCCGGAAUAAUUGGGCGUAAAGGGCGCGUAGGCGGCAAGGCAAGUCAGCAGUGGAAGUCCCAUUUUCAAGGUGGGGAGGGCUGUUGAAACUGCGUUGCUUGAGUGCAGGAGAGGUUAUCGGAAUUCCCGGUGUAGCGGUGAAAUGCGUAGAGAUCGGGAGGAACACCAGUGGCGAAGGCGGGUAACUGGACUGCAACUGACGCUGAGGCGCGAAAGUGUGGGGAGCAAACAGGAUUAGAUACCCUGGUAGUCCACACUGUAAACGAUGAAUGCUAGGUGUAGGGGGUAUCGACCCCUUCUGUGCCGGAGUAAACACAAUAAGCAUUCCGCCUGGGGAGUACGGUCCCAAGAUUAAAACUCAAAUGAAUUGACGG
rnacentral:rRNA from 1 species